rnacentral:rRNA from 1 species
AUGACGGCGGCGUCAAUGACCUCCAUUUACGGCUAUGAUAGUGUUAUCAUCAAUGGUGUCAACGACAUGAACGAAGGUUGGACGUUGGUGUUCUACUCGAACCCCGACUACUUUGCGUACUGGAGGAGAGCGUCAUCCAAAAGAGAAGGCGGGGUGCCCUUCCAAAAUAAAUUCCCAAACCCCAACAGAGAAUUCCCUAACAACUCCACCACAAUGGCAUCGCCGGCGCUGCCGUGCAGCCUCGACGCCCCGCCGACGGCGCAGGCGACCCUCCCGGACCACCUCACGGAGGAGAUCCUCCUCCGCCUCACCACGGCCGCCGACCUCGCCCGCGCCUCCAUGGCCGGGCCCUCCCUCCGCCGCGUCAUCGCCGAUCACUCCUUUCUCCGUCGCUUCCGCGCCCUCCACCCGCCGUCUCUCCUGGGUGUAAUCUCGUGCUCCUUCGUACCGUCCGAGCCACCCCAUCCCUCCGCCGCCGCCGCCCGAGCACUCACUGGCACCGACUUCUCCUGCUCCUUCCUCCCGUCCCGCGAGCAGUCCUGGUGUCGCUGCGACUUCCGCGACGGCCGCGCCCUCUUCUGCGUCUUCCCCGACGACGGUGUGCUGGUCAGGGACGUCGCCGUGUGCGACCCGCUACACCGGUGCCACCUGACACGCUAUUAA